GGAUGGGUGGCCGAGUGGUUUAUGGCAACGGUCUUGAAAAUCGUCGUGUCGCAAGGCACCGGGGGUUCGAAUCCCUCCCCAUCCGCCA
rnacentral:tRNA from 1 species